GAUGAACGCUGGCGGCGUGCCUAAUACAUGCGAGUCGAGCGAACAGAUGAGGAGCUUGCUCCUCUGACGUUAGCGGCGGACGGGUGAGUAACACGUGGAUAACCUACCUAUAAGACUGGGAUAACUUCGGGAAACCGGAGCUAAUACCGGAUAAUAUAUUGAACCGCAUGGUUCAAUAGUGAAAGACGGUUUUGCUGUCACUUAUAGAUGGAUCCGCGCCGCAUUAGCUAGUUGGUAAGGUAACGGCUUACCAAGGCAACGAUGCGUAGCCGACCUGAGAGGGUGAUCGGCCACACUGGAACUGAGACACGGUCCAGACUCCUACGGGAGGCAGCAGUAGGGAAUCUUCCGCAAUGGGCGAAAGCCUGACGGAGCAACGCCGCGUGAGUGAUGAAGGUCUUCGGAUCGUAAAACUCUGUUAUUAGGGAAGAACAAAUGUGUAAGUAACUAUGCACGUCUUGACGGUACGUAAUCAGAAAGCCACGGCUAACUACGUG
rnacentral:rRNA from 1 species